rnacentral:rRNA from 1 species
UACGUAGGGUGCAAGCGUUAAUCGGAAUUACUGGGCGUAAAGCGUGCGCAGGCGGUUUUGUAAGUCUGUCGUGAAAUCCCCGGGCUCAACCUGGGAAUUGCGAUGGAGACUGCAAGGCUAGAAUCUGGCAGAGGGGGUAGAAUUCCACGUGUGAGCAGUGAAAUGCGUAGAGAUGUGGAGGAACACCGAUGGCGAAGGCAGCCCCUGGGUCAAGAUUGACGCUCAUGCACGAAAGGCGUGGGGAGC